UUCUUUGGAAGAGUAUUGGGCAAAAGAUUAUUAUCCCGUAAAUUUUAGACCACGCACAAAUCCUUUCUCCCAUUCUCGGUUCUCUUUCCCGAGUUAUCUCUCUCAAUUCAGAAACCCUCUCUAACCAACUUGCCGCCGUCAGCAGUCGCGGAGCAAGCCGGACAGCAGGGUUUUGUCGUCCUAGGGCCCAACGGAAACCACCUCUCCACGGUGAUGGAUAUUUUUUCGUUGGUCUUCGCAGUGUUGUGAGGCUAGCAUCUUCUAUUUUCGGUUUUGGUCAUCAAUCAGAGGAAUAUCGAAGGUGAAGCGUGGAAGAAAAACUUCCAUUCGGCGCUGAGUAUAUCUUCGUUGGUCUUCGUGCUGCCGUCUUUGCGUCAGUAGCCGCGAAGCAGGACGGACAGCAGCCCUCCUUCAAGCAGUAGCGGCUUUCUCUCGAUCCCUCCUACGUUUCCCAUUCGCAGCCUCCUUGCACUCGUCGUAAGGAAGACCCAUCGAGAUGUCAUCCACCGUCUGGAGCAGAUCGAGCCUCCGGUUACGUCUCUGACCGCCACAGACAGUGCCGGCGUCACCCACAUAGCAAGAUCCACUGUGAGAUCCAGCCCCCAGCGCUCCUCUCUCUACUCCUCUGUUUCUCCCUUCUUCUCUCCUAUACGGAAAUGGCCAAAACGCAAACCGCUCUCACCAAAGUGGAAGCACCAGAAGCAGAGCUAAUGCUGGAUUUUUGUUUGUGUACUUUGGGUUUUCGUUUUAGAGAGUCUCGAUUUUCCUGGAAUGGGUAAUGCUGGAAAUCGGCUUGUAGCUGCCCUUUCACUGGUUAGAGUAGACUUCGAUUGCAAAAAUCCAUUGCUUUUUUGGUUAUUGUCAAUGAAUGAUGGUCAUUGUAGGAUUGAGUGGAAUAAUAUAAGUAAUUUGUUUGGCUAUUUAAGGUGAGACUCUUAAAAUAUUUAAUAUCGGUUGAAAUUGCAAUUGUACUCAUAAAGUUGUAUGCUUUGCCUUGCUGAGGUUAGUGUAAUGGUUGUUGAUGUUGACGAUGCUUCCGUCGGUUGCUGUUAUUAUUGUAUUUUUGUAGCCGAAUGAAUGCCCUUGCCUCACGGAGUGCUGCGAGUUCUCUCUCCUCGGGCCUUAUUGAAAGCCACCCAUUGAAAAAGCCAAUAAGGGGGAACCCUGGAGGAAGAAAAGGUUGAGCAGACCCUUCUACAGCUAAGAAGUUUGAAGAAAACUGUAAACAAUCUGUGGAGCUUGCACAGGAUCGAGCACUACUUAAUAAUCAUGCAGAUGUGCCCAUGGUUCACUAUCCUUCCCAUGACCCUAGGGUACCUUUCAUCUUUAAUCUAGAGCUUGUGAAUUAGAGGAAGCUUUGUGAUUUUGGGUGGUUGGUGGGUGGGUUGGUUUGAAACUUGGAUUGGAGGUGACUAUAGGAGUGGGAUGUUCAGACGAAGAACUUGAAGUGGAUGAGUAUCUUUUUAUGGAUAGGUUAUCUUGUUUCAAUGCUUCCUACUCUCCAAUUGAUGCACUGUAUUGACCUCUUUUGCUUACUGCGUUGUAAUUGACAGGAAAUGGGUCAGCUGCAGAUGGGAAUUCCAAAAGUACAAAGGUGAAUCCAACGGAAAAGGUGGCAGUGUGACAGAAGAAAACUCCCAAUGUGUUCUGGAAACUCGGAAGGCAAUGCUCCACAAAGAGUAAGCAGGGCCUGAGGCGCCACUGCUCAGCUGCGGUCUACUACCUUUGAACAACUGUAACCCUCCCCCUAAUCCUUCAAGCUGAUGUAAUCCACCAGCCAUGGAGCAACAGAUUUAUCAGCCACCGUUGACCAGCAAGCAGAAAGCUAACCGAGCUCAUCAUUGCCCAGCUCAGCCCCUCAAUAAUGCAAAGCCUUCUGUCAAUCUUCUGAUAAAACAAUACCAUGUGAUGACAUAGGUGGUUUGCCAAGUGUUUCUUGCAUACAGAUAUUGUUCUUGAAUAAGAUUAUCAAUUUCUUUUGGAUUAGGACCUUGGAGUUGAGAAUUUUGAUCCAAAAUGGUGAGUAUGGAUUGUGGUUUGAUCUUCCCAUUCUAUUAUGAUGGUAUUUAAUCUUAUGGUCAGUUAGCACUUUAUGAUCAUUCAAAAUCUCAAAACUUUUAUAGAGAA